AUGUAAGAUGUUUGUGGAUGAGCCCACAGGGACCUCGAGGUUCUGUGGGAGGACAUCUAGUGGUUCCUGGAGCAGCAGCAGCAGCCAGGACACAUGGAACUACAGUGGAGCAGCCACCCAGAGACCUUCGCAGAACUGUGGGUCAUGCUAAUCAGAAUGAGGGUCCAGAGGUCACAUCCCAGGUUGGGGAGGCAGAGGACAACCACAUAGGUGACUGGUUUGUCUGCCUAGUCAUCUAGAAAGCUCAUGACUAGGUCACACAGUGACACCUGAGGCUGCACACUUGUGGAGCUGCUGGUUUUCAAGAAGUUAACUCCUCUCAAUGGAAUGAAGUUCCUAAGCUUCCUCUCCCGGUAUUGGCCAGGUGAAGUGAAGAUCCACUCCUGCAGGACAUUGUGGUAUAGGCAAGAGCUGUACAGCAGCCCCAUCUGUGCCAGCCAGCCUUGAAGGUGGCUUGCUAGCAUUCCAGCACCACCAGCCUUUGUCCAUGUCUGGGCAAGCAGUUGUUGGCCCUCAACCCUUCUUCCCACCAUAUCAUUCUGUUUUGUCUACCCACUGGUAGGAGAUGGGGAACCAGCUUUGACACUAGUCUGGGGCAAGGGGCAGGUCCUAUUCUUCCUGUCCCAGGCUCUCAGUUCCUGGGAUUCUCAGGAGCAAAAGUGUGAGAGAAACAAGAGUCAAUGUUAGCCGU
rnacentral:lncRNA from 1 species